CAUCUAGAUGUGUUUCCCUGCCUUACCAAUUCUUUGUGUUCUUUCCUCAAAUGGAUGCUUUCCAAUGUGAUUGACUAAAUUAAUAAACUCUGGUAAAGAAAUUAAAAGUUUAAAAACUGGCUUAAUGUGUCAGUUCUCCUGUUUUUAUGUUUAUACUUUUAUGGGUGGCUUAUACCGAGGCAAUAUCAAUAGGAGAAGAAUCAUGGUAUGGUAGCAUAAAUUAGGAAUUUAAAAAUUGUUUAGAAUCUCAGUUCUACUGUUAUAAAUUGUGUGACUCUGGUCAAGUUGCUUAGAUCUCAGGACCUCCAUUUCCCCAUAUGUAAAAUGGAGAGAAUUACUGAUGCUCUCACUUACAGAGUUCCUAGGAAGAUAAAUAAGAUAAUGUGCAUUAAGCAUUUAGCCCGAGGUAUAGCACAUAAUAAACAUGCAACAAAUGGUAGCUAUCAUUAUUUUAUAAAAACAUUUUUCUUCUAUUCUUUAGUUAUAACAUGUAGGCAGUGGUUACAUAGGGUUAAAAAAGAUAUACAUAAACUGAUCAAUAAAUGUUUGAUUGUUCUUUGCUCAAAUAUAAAAAUUAGGUCCCCCAAAGUCUUUUUAAACAUAACUUAGAGUUAUAAUUGGAUUGUCUUAAUUAGUAUGGAAACAUUGCCUUUAUCCAUAUGAUAGAACCAAAUAGGAUGCACUGAAGAUCUCUGAGAUUAUUGACUUCCUGUGUCAUCUAAUUAUUACAUUGUCUAUUUAAUUUAUUCAUAAAAAUAAAAAUAAUCACCCAAUAUUUACUUUGUGCCUGACACUGUGCUAGGUACUGAAGAAAAAUGGAUGAGUAUGAGUAAGUCCUUAGUUUCUAGUGACAAAGAAUACUAUGGGAAGGACAAAUCAACAGGGAGAACCAUUUAUAUUUGCUAUGAAUCAUCUAGCAACAUAAAGGAGUCAAAAUGUCUAUCCAUGUCUAUCAUACUGCUGUAAGUCUUAAGGUUUUGAAUCAUAGGUUUCCAAUUGUAGGUGGGUAACUGAUCAUUUUGCAAAUGAAUCAACUGAAGUUAAAGAAAAUGGUUUUGCCCCAAUUGACACAGCCCGUCACUUCAGAUAGAUUGAUUCCAACUAUGCUUCUUCCAACAUGUCAUUACUGUAUCACUUUUCUUUAAUGCCAGUGUUACUGUUUGACAGCCCGUAGUAAAAGGGGAGAACAAACUUAAUCCUUCGACAGAAAAGCUUUGGCAGUAUUCAGGUUUGAACAAAUAAACCUUGGACUCAUGGAAAUUCUGAAAGAUGAUCUACUGGAUAAUGUGAACUCAAUUGCCACAAAGUUCCCCCGGGAAUUAGCUGUUACAGUAAUAUGAAGCUUUGCCAUUUUCCUUUGACCACAAACAUCUGGCCGCUUUCCCAUAUGUGCUAAGUCUAUGAGUUGCUAGGAUUUUCACAAAUAAAACAAACAGACAAAAUGCUGCAUUUUAAGUAACUUAGCUUUGUAUUUUCAAGUUCUUAAAAUCCUACAGUCUUUCAUUUAGGUUAGGAAAUAUUAAUUUCUCAGUGUGUAGUUGAAGUUGAUUAUCACUUCUGCUUCCCCACAUACUUCCAGCUUCCACAGAGGAAGCUAGAAUUAGGUUAUGUGCUAUAUCCUCAAAGACCUAAAAAUGCAUUUGUUGAGAGGAAUUAGUGUAAUAAUAAUGAAUAUGAAGCAUUAGGUAACAUGUCUAGCAUAUUAAAACAUUUAAUAAAAGGAGGCUAUUACAACUUUAACACUAACAUUUAUUUCUGGCAUACAAUGGGACUAUAUUUACAUUUAUUGAUUUUAAGGUAACAUUUUAAUUUCUCUUUCAACAUGUUAAACAUAUCUUUCAUAUAAUAAUGGCCAAAAAGGCUCCCAUAACUUUCCAACUGACAAUGAUUUCCUUAUUACAGCUUAUGAACUCUGGUUUAAGCAAAUCCUCUGGGAGUUGGAUUCUGUUCGAGAGAUCUUUCAGAAUGGCCAUGUCAGAGAUGAAAGGAACAUGCUUAAGGUUGUUUCUCGGAUGCACCGAGUGUCAGUGAUCCUGAAACUGCUGGUGCAGCAGUUUUCCAUUCUGGAGACGAUGACAGCCUUGGACUUCAAUGACUUCAGGAAAAGACACUCCUGGAAUUAGUGGAGGCAUGGCUGGAAAGAACUCCAGGUUUAGAGCCACAUGGAUUUAACUUCUGGGGAAAGCUUGAAAAAAAUAUCACCAGAGGCCUGGAAGAGGAAUUCAUAAGGAUUCAGGCUAAAGAAGAGUCUGAAGAAAAAGAGGAACAGGUGGCUGAAUUUCAGAAGCAAAAAGAGGUGCUACUGUCCUUAUUUGAUGAAAAACGUCAUGAACAUCUCCUUAGUAAAGGUGAAAGACGGCUGUCAUACAGAGCACUUCAGGGAGCAUUGAUGAUAUAUUUUUACAGGGAAGAGCCUAGGUUCCAGGUGCCUUUUCAGUUGCUGACUUCUCUUAUGGACAUAGAUUCACUGAUGACCAAAUGGAGAUAUAACCAUGUGUGCAUGGUGCACAGAAUGCUGGGCAGCAAAGCUGGCACCGGUGGUUCCUCAGGCUAUCACUACCUGCGAUCAACCGUGAGUGAUAGGUACAAGGUAUUUGUAGAUUUAUUUAAUCUUUCAACAUACCUGAUUCCCCGACACUGGAUACCGAAGAUGAACCCAACCAUUCACAAAUUUCUAUAUACAGCAGAAUACUGUGAUAGCUCCUACUUCAGCAGUGAUGAAUCAGAUUAAAAUCGUCUGCAAAAUCUAUGAAGAAUACUGGUUUCACAGUCUAUUUUUUAUUUUCUAUGGAUUUUCAUAAAUACGGUUUGAAUAUAUGUAUACAUAUAUUGUUCAGCACCACGAUGCUCUGAUUUAAUUCUAGAAGCAAUUUGAUUACCUCUUGUUUGUGACAAGACUAAGCAUUAAGAUGAGAAAGAAUACAUUUAAAUAGUAACAUUGUACAUAGGGUGUUUUCCUAUUAAAAAUUCAGUUUCCCCUGAGACUUAAUGUAACCACUUAAUGUAAUCACUAUCUCAUUGUUUCAUCUUUAUAAACUUGUAAACUUCAGCUAUUUCAAAUAUUUUAUGCAGUACAUUAUAUUAUUCUGUACAAAGACUUUCAAACAAAAUUUUUAAAAUAAUAAAGUAUUAAUCUUUC
rnacentral:sRNA from 1 species